AAGAGAUUUAUUGAAUAAAAGUAGCUGCUAACUAACUUUUAAAGCGGUUCAAAUCCGUUUAUCUCUUU
rnacentral:tRNA from 1 species